UACGUAGGGUGCAAGCGUUAAUCGGAAUUACUGGGCGUAAAGCGUGCGCAGGCGGCUAUGCAAGACAGAUGUGAAAUCCCCGGGCUCAACCUGGGAACUGCAUUUGUGACUGCAUGGCUAGAGUACGGCAGAGGGGGAUGGAAUUCCGCGUGUAGCAGUGAAAUGCGUAGAUAUGCGGAGGAACACCGAUGGCGAAGGCAAUCCCCUGGGCCUGUACUGACGCUCAUGCACGAAAGCGUGGGGAGCGAACAGG
rnacentral:rRNA from 1 species